GUAGGGAAUCUUGCGCAAUGGGCGAAAGCCUGACGCAGCCAUGCCGCGUGAAUGAUGAAGGUCUUAGGAUUGUAAAAUUCUUUCACCGGGGACGAUAAUGACGGUACCCGGAGAAGAAGCCCCGGCUAACUUCGUGCCAGCAGCCGCGGUAAUACGGAGGGGGCUAGUGUUGUUCGGAAUCACUGGGCGUAAAGCGCACGUAGGCGGCUACUCCAGUCAGAGGUGAAAGCCCGGGGCUCAACUCCGGAAUUGCCUUUGAAACUAGGUAGCUUGAACGUCGGAGAGGUAAGUGGAAUUCCGAGUGUAGAGGUGAAAUUCGUAGAUAUUCGGAAGAACACCAGUGGCGAAGGCGACUUACUGGACGACUGUUGACGCUGAGGUGCGAAAGCGUGGGGAGCAAACAGGAUUAGAAACCCUGGUAGUCC
rnacentral:rRNA from 1 species